rnacentral:rRNA from 1 species
UGGGGAAUAUUGCACAAUGGGGGAAACCCUGAUGCAGCGACGCCGCGUGAGUGAAGAAGUAUUUCGGUAUGUAAAGCUCUAUCAGCAGGGAAGAUAAUGACAGUACCUGACUAAGAAGCCCCGGCUAACUACGUGCCAGCAGCCGCGGUAAUACGUAGGGGGCAAGCGUUAUCCGGAUUUACUGGGUGUAAAGGGAGCGCAGACGGCGAAGCAAGUCUGAAGUGAAAUGCAUGGGCUCAACCCAUGAAUUGCUUUGGAAACUGUUUGGCUUGAGUGUCGGAGGGGUAAGCGGAAUUCCUAGUGUAGCGGUGAAAUGCGUAGAUAUUAGGAGGAACACCGGAGGCGAAGGCGGCUUACUGGACGACAACUGACGUUGAGGCUCGAAGGCGUGGGGAGCAAACAGGAUUAGAUACCCUGGUAGUCCACGCAGUAACGAUGAAUACUUGGUGUCGGGGAGGUAAACUCUUCGGUGCCGCAAGCAAACGCAUUAAGUAUUCCACCUGGGGAGUACGUUCGCAAGAAUG